UACGAAGGAUGCAAGCGUUAUCCGGAUUUAUUGGGUUUAAAGGGUGCGUAGGUGGCCCUAUAAGUCAGUGGUGAAAGCCUGCAGCUUAACUGUAGGAUUGCCAUUGAUGCUGUAGGGCUUGAGUACUGAUGAGGUAGGCGGAAUUGAUAGUGUAGCGGUGAAAUGCAUAGAUAUUAUCAAGAACACCGAUUGCGAAGGCAGCUUACUAAGGAGUUACUGACACUGAGGCACGAAAGCGUGGGGAUCAAACAGG
rnacentral:rRNA from 1 species